AAUUCAGAUUACAGGAAAAACGUACAGGAGGAAAAAAAUAAAAGGAACUCUCUAGAAUUUCUCCUAUUGACAAUUCUGUAGUAGUAUCUUGUUUCACAGGUUUAAGAAAAGUCAGUUCUAGUUUCUUCUACCGUCACUUGAAGGGAGCCUCUGAAAUCCAAUGGUCGAAUUAAAGCACAUACCUUUUGAACCAGCAUUCCAAUUCCUGGGCAUUUAUUCCACACAUGCUCAAAAUUACAUAUGUACAAGACCAUUCAUGACAGCAUUUUUUUUUUUUUUUCUAGAAGCAAAGGGCUAGAAAUCACCUAAAUAUCUGUAAGAAAGAAGCUGGCUAAACUAAUUAUGUAAAACUCAUACAAAGAAUGCCAGGUGCCAGAAGCAAGAAUGAGGAAGUUCUUCAUCUUUAAUCUAUCCUGAGGUUCUUGAAUACUCGGCCUUUCCUAUGUUGGGACUUCCUGGUACUUCUUUCACAUUGUGAAAGAAUUCUCCAGCCUGACUCUCAGAGCCGAGGGAACGUCGCGUACACGAUUACAGUCCCCAAGACCAGAGGCUAAUGUCCGGAGGGAAGAGGAAGAGACAGACAAGAAACUCACCUUGUAAUUGCAGUGAUUUCCUGAACUGUGAUCAGUAGAAAAGUAGAGACUCAGCUGCAUCUUUGCCAAAAACGGCCGGAACAUUUCCUUAAGGAAUAUAAAAGACGUCAUGUACCUGUGGCCCAAAGCUGAAAAGCAAAAAGCAUCUAACCUUCAGAACAACAUCUGGGCAUCUUACCCAGGGUGACUACAAGGUAGCAGAAUUUAUUUUUCUACGUCGCAGAGGAAAUCAGCCUCCUGUUUUGGACAACAGUACUUUUCAUCAAUUAUUCUGCCACCUGCUGGUAAAUUUUUGUAAGAGAGAACACAGGAAGAACAAUACGAGCUUUGGGAGGGAGCUAGCCACCUUUCUCAACAUCAAAGCAUCCCGAGGAAUCUCGUCAAAGCACCAAGACAGGAUUAAGCAUCCUCCUCUUUCCAGCACUACAUUCCUAAAGGUGGAUGAGGAAGCAGAGUGAUUCAUACCCUUCAUUCAGUUCUAUUUUUCCUUUUUUUUUUUUUUUGAGACAGAGUCUCGCUCUGUCGCCCAGGCUGGAGUGCAGUGGGCUCACUUGGUUCACUGCAACUUCCGCUUCCCAAAUUCAAGCGAUUCUCCUGCCUCAGGCCCCCGAGUAGCUGGGACUUCAGGGGCACACCACCAGCCCGGGCUAAUUUUGUUGUUGGUGGUGGUUUUUUUUUUUUCCCCUGGAGACAGAGCCUUGCUCUCUCACAAAGGCUGGAGUGCAGUGGCAUGAUCUUGGCUCACUGCAACCUCCACCUCCAGAGUUCAAGCAAUUCUCCUGCCUCAGCCUCCUGAGUAGCCAGGAUUACAGGCAUGUGCCACCACACCUGGCUAAUGUUGUAUUUUCAGUAUAGACGGGGUUUCUCCAUGUUGGUCAGGAUGGUCUCAAACUCCCAACCUCAGGUGAUCCACCAGCCUUGGCCUCCCAAAGUGCUGGGAUUACAGGCAUGAGCCACCGCGCCCAGCCCUAAUUUUUGUAUUUUUAGUAGAGACAGGGUUUUAUUAUGUUGGUCAGGCUGGUCUUGAACUCCUGACCUCAGGUGAUCUGCCUAUCUCAGCCUCCCAAAUUGCUGGGAUUACAGGCGUGAGCCACUGUGUCCGGCCUAUUUUCCUUUUUAAAAACAUUUACAGAUCAUGUGCCAGAGUAGGUACUGAAAAUAUAAAAAUACAUGUAGGCCGGGCACGGUGGCUCACGCCUAUAAUCCCAGCUACUUGGGAGGCUGAAGCAUGAUCAUCGCUUGAACCGGGAGGUGGAGGAUAGGGUGAGCCGAGAUCCAGCCACUGCACUCCAGCCUGGCAGCAGAGCAAGACUCUGCCUCCAAACAACAACGAAACACUUCAAGAGAGGAAAAUGUAGUGGAAAACCAAGUAAGCAAGUGAAUAAGAGAAUGGAUCAGGGAGGCGUGAGUAGAUGUGAUCUUCCCCAUUCCUCUUCCUUGGACGUCACAUAUAAAACAACUCUAAGAAGACCGAAAUGUGGAGAGGAGGUGGACCAGCUAGGAGCCCCAGAAACAAAGGCAGGGCACGAUGCUGAUUUCUGUGGACACUUUUUGCCAAUUACCCCAUACUUGGAGCUGAAGAAGCAGCAACCGGAAAUGCCAAUAGGAGCAGCCAAGAAAAUCCCUAACAAAAGCCUGUUCUCCGCAGCCAGAGGAUCAGGACUGAGGCAGUCUAGCAAACCAGAAAAAGUUUCGACAAUAUUUGCUCUAUUCCAGCCAAAUGCCACAAAAACAAACUGUGACUUGUCCUCUCCUGUUCCGGCAAAGACUUAAUGGGGUGCCUAGACGUUCACCACCAGCAAGUCUAUUAGGAGUCAUCUCUCCCCUUUACUGUUGGGGUGGUAUCAGAAGAAACUAGAGAGUCAGAACUUUCACCCAAACUCAGUGAGUGGUAAUGAGGCUACCCCUGAGGAAAGAAUCAGUGAACUAAAAGACGGAACAGUAGAAAGUACUCAGUCUGGACCAAGAGCAGUGGCUCACACCUGUAACCCCAGCACUUUGGGAGGCUGAAGCAAGCAGAUGACUUGAGGCCAGGAGUUCAAGUUUCACCAUGUUGGCCAGCCUAGCCAACAUGGUGAAACUCCAUCUCUACUAAAAAUGCAGGCAGGGAACGGUGGCUCACACCUGUAAUCCCAGCACUUUGGGAGGCCAAGGCGGGCAGAUCACAAGGUCAGGAGUUUGAGACCAACCUGACCAACAUGACCUAAUUCAGGCCUGUCUCUACUAAAAAUACAAAAUUAGCUGGGCGUGGUGGCGAAUGCCCAUAAUCCCAGCUACUCUGGAGCCUGAAGCAGGAGAAUCGCUUGAACCCAGGAGGCGGAGGUUGCAGUGAGCCAAGAUCAUGCCAUUGCACUCUAGCCUUGGAACAAGAGCAAAACUCCAUCUUAAAUAAUAAUAAUAAUGAACUGGGCAUGGUGGCACACACCUGUAAUCCCAGCUACUUGGGAGGCUGAGGCCCAAGAAUCACUUGAACCUGGGAGGCAGAGGCUGUAAUGAGUGGAGAUCGUGCCAGGACACUCCAGCCUGUGCAACAGAGUGAGACCCUGUUUUAAAAAAAAAAAAAAAAAACAUCAAUCUGAAAAACAGAAUAGACUGGGGGAAAAAUGAGCUCAGAGCCUCAGGGACUUGUGAGAUUACAACAAAAGAUCGAACAUUUGCGUCAGCAAAUUCCUGGAAGAAGAGGAAGAGAACAAGACAAGAAAGUACCAAAGGAAAUAGCAGCUGAAAACUCCCCACAUUUGGCACAGGGAUAAACCGACAGAUUCAAGAGGCUGAACGAACUCCUAACAGGAUAAACUCAAACUAAUUCAGGCCAUGGCACCCUGCAGUGGUUUGGAUGUUUGUCCCCUCUGAACCUUAGGUUAAAAUUUGAUCCCCAGUAUUGCAGGUGGGGCCAAAUGGGAGGUGUCUGGGUCAUCAGGGUGGGUCCCUCAUGAAUAGAUUAAAGCCCUCCCUCAGGGGCAAAUGAGUUUUCACUCUUAGUUCCCGCAAGGGCUGGUUAAAAAGAACAUGGCACCUAACCUCUUUCUUUCUUCUUCUCUUGCCAUUGAUCUCUGCACAAACCAGCUUCUCUUCACCUUCCACUAUGACUGGGAGCAAUCUGAGGCCCUCUCCAAAUACAGAUGCCCAAUCUUGAACUUCCAGACAUCAGAAACAUAACCCAAAUAAACUGAAAUUUAUAAAUUACCGAGUCUCAGGUAUUCCUUUACAGCAACACUAAAUGAACUAAGACACACGUCAAAGUCAAACUGCUAAAA